rnacentral:rRNA from 1 species
CAUACCACCCUGAACGCGCCUGAUCUCAUCUGACCUUGGGAGCUAAGCAGGGUCGGGCCUGGUUAGUACUUGGAUGGGAGAGAGAAGGUC